GGCCAGUUAGCUCAGUUGGUUAGAGUGUGGUGCUAAUAACACCAAGGUCAUGGGUUCAAGCUCCAUACUGGCCA